UUUCAUGGGGUCGGCUCCACUUGUGUGGCUCUUUGUGUAUUUUGGGGAGCAGGUAAAACCUGCGGGGCCGGGGGUCCGCUUCGCCCAAAAGGUAAGUCUUUUGUUUGUCGUUAAUAAAUCGUUUUUUAAGCAAAUUUUUGAUAAUGUGGUCUGUCAUGGGAAUAGUUUGGGGGUAAAUGGGUGUGGUCAAAGGUAAGUAAUAAGUCGUGUCGUUCAACUGUCUGGUGCCCUCCCAGACAUAUUGAGACCUAUCCAUAAUCACCACUGCGCUUCCCUUGUCUGCCGGUUUUAUGACAAUGUCUUUAUUGUUUUUGAGGCUGUGGAGGGCCUCAGUUUCGUCCCGGGUGAGGUUGGGCGCCACCGUGAGGGCGCAACCCGACAGGAGCGAUGGGUGUUGAUCCGCCCGGACCAGCAUGUGGACCUCCGGAGGUAGCAAACCCGGUGAGGGCUCCCAUUCGGACCUCGAGGUCGUAUUUGACUUGAUGGUGCCACUCGGGACUGAGGUUGACGGACGGGACAAAAGUGAGGCCUUUGUCGAGGAGGGAGCGCUGCGAGGAGGUGAGUAUAAAGUGUUUUGAUAAGUUUACGAUGUUAUUGUUGGUGGUGGUGUUGUUGUUGUUGUUGUUGUUGUUGUUGUUGUUUGUGUUUCCCCCCCGACAGGUCGGGUUUUUGGGGACGCCAAGUUUAAAUGGUGCAGCCAGUGCUUCAGCAUGUGCUUGGCAGUCUCCUCAGUCCAGUGCAGGUUAUCCCUUCCUGUAGCAAACUCAUCAUGGGGCUUCCGAGAAAUUAAUCAGGGGGAUAAAGAUUUCGGCGUUGGGGAAGACCGUUUUGGCCACCUUGAGGGCCCUUUGAAUUUGCUUAAAGGAUGGCCUCUGCAUGCCGAAAGUUGGCGCCUGGGUAGCUGUCCAUCUGAAGGUCCUGGAGACGGACAGGUGGAAGACGACUGAUGUUGGAGUCACCAAUCACCAGGACCUUCUUGUCGACAGACAGGCCGAAGUGCCGGUUCUAGGCCCUUUCCGGAUUCCCGAAAAAAAUUGGGACCAGCUGGGACCCGCUUCAGGAACCGGAGUACGUGGAGGAGGAGUGUCCACGAGGGGCACGUCCGGAAGAGGCGCGUCCGGGAGGGGCGCGUCCAGGAGGGAGGCCGUCGGUGAGGGUGGUCCCGGUGGGCCAGAACUAAGUUGAGACCAACUAGGAGGCGUGUCAGGGGGCAGCUGGGACCACCCUGGAGGCACCUGAGGGGAUGACGCCGGCUGCUCAGAUGGCGGUGGCGCGUCCGAGACCGCAGGAGGGACCCUGACUUCGGUCUCGACCCGCGAAUGCGGCCCGGGUGGCGGGACCAGGGGAGCCUCGACAAUGGAAUUGUCGGGAGGACUGCUGCAGGGCUCCUGGGGUCGUGCCAUUCUCUGGGGCCUGGAUGGUGCUGUGGCCAGAGAAGAAGGUGACAAAACCGGGAAGGGGACCGGGGUGACAGGUCCCCUAGGACCCGGAACCGGUUCCACCACCGGGGACCAGUCCCCGACCACCGGAUCGGUCAUGGUGGACGCCGUGGCGCGCGCAGGAGCGUGCAGGGUUGGAACCGCCAGCGGCAUGGUGGACACCGUGGCGCGCGCAGGAGCGUGCAGGGUUUGAACCGGCAGGGUUGGACCCGGCAGGGGCCGCAAGGGUUGCACCGGGGGGUGCACUGCAUCCACCACCAUUCGGGUGCUGGACGGGUCCAAGCGGACUGGUGACCCCGUCUGCUGCGAUCGUGCGGGACUC